rnacentral:rRNA from 1 species
CACGUAGGGCGCAAGCGUUGUCCGGAAUUAUUGGGCGUAAAGAGCUCGUAGGCGGUCUGUUGCGUCCGCUGUGAAAACCCGGAGCUCAACUCCGGGCCUGCAGUCGAUACGGGCGGACUAGAGUUCGGCAGGGGAGACUGGAAUUCCUGGUGUAGCGGUGGAAUGCGCAGAUAUCAGGAGGAACACCGGUGGCGAAGGCGGGUCUCUGGGCAGUAACUGACGCUGAGGAGCGAAAGCGUGGGGAGCGAACAGG